AUUGAACGCUGGCGGCAGGCCUAACACAUGCGAGUCGAGCGGAAGAAGGGAGCUUGCUCCUGGAUUCAGCGGCGGACGGGUGAGUAAUGCCUAGGAAUCUGCCUGGUAGUGGGGGAUAACGUCCGGAAACGGGCGCUAAUACCGCAUACGUCCUGAGGGAGAAAGUGGGGGAUCUUCGGACCUCACGCUAUCAGAUGAGCCUAGGUCGGAUUAGCUAGUUGGUGGGGUAAAGGCCUACCAAGGCGACGAUCCGUAACUGGUCUGAGAGGAUGAUCAGUCACACUGGAACUGAGACACGGUCCAGACUCCUACGGGAGGCAGCAGUGGGGAAUAUUGGACAAUGGGCGAAAGCCUGAUCCAGCCAUGCCGCGUGUGUGAAGAAGGUCUUCGGAUUGUAAAGCACUUUAAGUUGGGAGGAAGGGCAGUAAGUUAAUACCUUGCUGUUUUGACGUUACCAACAGAAUAAGCACCGGCUAACUUCGUG
rnacentral:rRNA from 1 species